rnacentral:rRNA from 1 species
AACGCGAAGAACCUUACCAGGUCUUGACAUCCCGCUGACCGCCUUGGAGACAAGGCUUUCCCUUCGGGGACAGCGGUGACAGGUGGUGCAUGGUUGUCGUCAGCUCGUGUCGUGAGAUGUUGGGUUAAGUCCCGCAACGAGCGCAACCCUUGAUCUUAGUUGCCAGCAUUCAGUUGGGCACUCUAAGGUGACUGCCGGUGACAAACCGGAGGAAGGUGGGGAUGACGUCAAAUCAUCAUGCCCCUUAUGACCUGGGCUACACACGUGCUACAAUGGACGGUACAAAGGGCUGCCAACCCGCGAGGGGGAGCCAAUCCCAGAAAACCGUUCUCAGUUCGGAUUGCAGGCUGCAACUCGCCUGCAUGAAGCCGGAAUCGCUAGUAAUCGCGGAUCAGCAUGCCACGGUGAAUACGUUCCCGGGCCUUGUACACACCG